rnacentral:rRNA from 1 species
CCCUUAGAUGUUCUGGGCCGCACGCGCGCUACACUGAUGCAUUCAACAAGCCUAGCCUUGACCGAGAGGUCCGGGUAAUCUUUGAAACUGCAUCGUGAUGGGGCUAGAUUACUGCAAUUAUUAAUCUUCAACGAGGAAUGCCUAGUAAGCGUGAUUCAUCAAAUCGCGUUGAUUACGUCCCUGCCCUUUGUACACACCGCCCGUCGCUCCUACCGAUUGAAUGUGUUGGUGAGGAGCUCGGAUUGGCAGCAGUUGGUGGUUCGCCACCGGCUAUUGCUGAGAAGUCCUCCAAACCGCCCCAUUUAGAGGAAGGAGAAGUCGUAACA